ACUGAAAUGCACUGGGAAGGGGGACUUAGAUACUAACACAAGUUCAAUUCAAGAAGCAUUUAUUGAACCGUCCUCAUGAGCCAGGUCAGGGUGUUCAGCACUGAGCGUGUCAAGACGAAGACACAUAGCCUCUAAGUGUCCACCAUCUACAAUAGCUAAUGUUUAAUUGUCCUUAAAAGUUGAAGAAUGUUGACUGGAUUGUCUGCAAAUCAGUCAUGUGAGUAGUGUUAAUCUAAUGAAGAAGAAUCUUAAAAGACAAAUUCUCCAAAUGCUGCUGCUCCUGCAUCCUGCUGCUCUACCUGCUGUGGGGAGGAGGUGAGUGGAUGAUACCCAGCUUCCUUUCGUGGCAACAACACUUAAAAAGUAAGUGACCACUCCCUGAUAUGCUGCAGAUGCAAUUGAGUAGCAGCUUCAUUCCACAUUUCUCCAACAUCUUUCAUGGUGAGGUCAAGAGCAUAUUCAAAACCAUGUGUGGCUCAGUCCAACUGGAGAGACCAAGUCAAAGAGCCUCAUUUCCAUAAGAAUGUCUAGUUAUUUUGCAGGCACAGAGUUAAGAAGUGGCAAGUUAACACAGCCAGAGCAUGCACAGAAGAAAACUUCGACCUCAAAUAACACCUAGAACCAAAGUCCCUACCGCAGAACUAAAAGAUUGGGAUGUGGCUGGAACUCAAGCACCUAAACACUUUCAAAAGGCUUUGCCUUCCAGUGUCUACUUGGCCUUCCAGUGUCAGACAGCUUCUUGCACCUGACCCACUCAGCUGAGGACACAGAUGUCAAAAAAAAAAUCAUAAAUACAGAAUUCCAGAAAAUUUUA
ensembl:lncRNA VAV3-AS1 VAV3 antisense RNA 1